AGAGAUGUGGCUUAAGGGCUCAGCAAUGUCAUAAAACAUGGCAGAAUUGACCAUGGCUGGUGGCAGGGGAUCCUGGGGGCAUUGGCAGCUACAAAGCCCAUGAUUGUUAUUAAGAUAUUUAAUAUGUAUUUUUCCAUUUCUGCCACCAAAUUUAUUUGGCUACAUGCUACUGUACUGCCUCAGGGUUAUGUUUCUGGAGCGCAGCUCUGACUGUGUGGAUUUCCAGCUGCGAAACACUCCAGGGCUUCUCAUUAUCCAGCAAGCAAACUCUGUCCUCUCUCUUUCUGCUUAGGGGCCUUCCUUGCUCCACCCCCAGUAAGUGAGACUUCUCUCCCUUUCAAGAGUGUGCCCUUCGCUCACUCUCGUCAAUGUGAGCUAUCUUACCUUCCUUUGCUGUCCUCUCCUGCAAGGUCUGAGAGCCCAGAACCGAGUUCCAGAGGACUUUAUAACUCCCCUUGAGCCUCGCUGGACUGAGUUCGUGAGUCUGGAAUUAUGUGGUGUUCUUUCAGUUAGGCCAUCCUUGAAUUCACCUGAGUUUUCUCAUAAACCUUCUGGCCUUUCCUGUGCUAUUCUCUGGAUGAACAAAAUUAAGUCAUUUUACAAAAUUCUGACCACACAUAACUAACACAUAGAGUCAAAGUGCUGGACAUUUGUAAUUUCUAGCCUUUCCUUCUCCUUUGUGACCACAUCUUCACUCCCCCAGGCCCAUAAACAUAGCUAUUUUCCCAUUCAGAAUGAGCAGAGUAAGCCAAGAAGAAAUCACUAAAACAGUAACAGCAACAAGGUGUUUCCCAUAAGGACUGAUUUUGCUUGCUGCUUCCUAGAGCAUUGGAGUAUGUUUUUGGGAACCCAAAGGUUGUCAAAGGCUCUGGAGGAUGAAAAUCCUAUGAAAAUAUUCUCUCUUUGUGACUUUGAAUUUUUCCUACCAUUUCUACAACUAGAAGUUUGCUGGCUGGGGAGAACAAAUUCUUCCAAGUUCUUAUGUGCUUCUGGACAUAGAUGAUGAGUAUUAUUAAAACUUCUACUUCUGUUUGGAAUACGGAUGAAAACUCCUAGACUAGAUUACUAAAUGAAUUAUAAUUCAUACCAGCUUUGGGAAAUAAGUUGCCAAGGGGCUUAACGACACAGAGAUUUAGAUUUAGAGAAAUAUGAGAUUUUCAAAGCUUGACAUGGGUGCCUCUUCCUUUUAUUACCAUUCCUGAGAAUACAUUUUUUUUUUCUUGAGACAGAGUCUCACUCUGUCUCCCACACUGGAGUCCAGUGGUGCGAUCACCAGUCACUGCAGCCUUGACCUCCCCCCGCUCAGGUGAUGCUCCCAUCUCAGCCUCCUGAGUAGCUAGGACUACAGGUGUGUUCCACCACACCCAGCUAAUUUUUCUGGAGAAUAACUUUAAUGCAUAAUAUUCUACCUAGUAUGGGCUAUAGAGAGUACUAUAAAUUUUUUUUUAAGAUUAGGAAAGGGCAGUUCUAGCAUGCCAUUUGAAUUUGAGGCAGAAUAAUUUUCUGGUCCUUCUCCCCUAAAUAACUUGACCAGACUUGAAUGUGAUUGUUUUUCACAAGGAAGGGCAAGGCCCAGCUGUGUGCUCAGACCUGUCCUCUUAGUUUAAUGUUUAUGGUUAAUGUGCAUGGGCUUAGGAGUUUAUUUCAGUGCAUUAUAGUGCUAAUAAAAUAGGAUAGAGACAUUAACAGGGUUUGAUGUGUGUCUGAGUUCAGAACGCAUCUUAACAUGCUUGAUCGCAAUCAAUGUCUUUCAAUGCAGCCCAUCCAUUGUCUCUUGUGUUAAAAGAUCUUUUUUCACUUUUUUCAUUAAAAAUUGUAGUAAAUGCACAUGUGCACACACACAUAACAUAAAAUUUACCAUCUUAACUAUUUUUAGGUGCACAGUUCAGUGGCAUUAAGUACAUUCACACUGCUGUGCAACCAUUACCACCAAGCGUCUCCGGGAACAUUUCCAACUUCCCAAAUAGAAACGCUGUACUCAUUAGACAACUCCCAAUCCCCUCUCCUCCCAGCCCCUGGCAACCACUCCAUUCUCUUCCUCUAUGAAUUGGACUGCUGUGAGUAUCUAAGUGGAAUUAUACAUAUUUGUCCUUUGUGUCUGGCUUAUUUAACUUAGCAUGAUGUCCUCAAGGUUCAUCCAUGUUGUAGCAUGUGUCAGAAAUUCCUUCCUUUUUAAGGCUGAAUAACAUUCCAUUGCAUGCAUAGACUACAUUUUGCUUCUCUGUCCAUUCGCUGAUGGGCACUUGGGCUCCUUCCACCUCUUGGCUGUUGUGAACAGAGCUGCAAUGAACAUGGAUGUACAAAUAUCUGUUCACAUUGAGAUCUCUCUCCUUUGGAAAAGGCAGGGCAAAUGUGAAAAAAAAAUCAUACUUUCCUGAUUUAUUGUGACUCAAAAUUUCCCAAACCUACUUCUUAUUUUUGAAAAGUAGAUGUCACAAUUAGUAAAAAUCCUGAAAAUUUUGAGUGAAAUAUGUUAGGUGAUUUCCCUUCGUAAGAAUAUAAAAGAAGUAAAAUAAAAUGAUGCUGAAUCUUUAGAGAGCUUCCAUGUUUACAUUAGAUGUUGAUUUAAACAUUUUUCUAAAUAAGAGAUUUUCCCCUCGUGGAUGAGUGUCAAGAAAUAAUCCGACGUCAUAGCAUUUAUAGUCCUAGAUAGUAAAAUUUCAAAAUCCAAGGAUCAGAAUAGUUAGAGAAACCUGAGAAAAACCUAAAUAAGGACCUGUAAAAAGCUACUAACUACAACCACGAGAUUAUAGAUGUUUGCUGAUAUUGUUCUCAGUUUGGUUAUUGUGUUGUUUAUGAAUGAAAGUAGUGUAUGUUUGUGUGAAUUUUUGUUUUUAAUUUUUUAUGAGUGCCCUAACAAAGAUUACAAAUUGGGAAUACAAACUCCAGAGCAAUGGAGACAGUGACACUUUUGUGGAGGGGUACAUGUGGCUGUUCGGGUGGUUAUUAACACAGGCUGCUGCCCCUGCCCUGCAAUGGGAAUCCCCAGGGCAUUGGAGGAUUCAACCUCUUGCAGUUACCUCUUGUAAGACAGCAGAUGGCAGCAGAGAGAGGCUUUGCACAUCCCUGCAGGUUCUAGUUUGCACAAAGGGCUUCUGAGAGACCUAUCAACCAAUUAUAACAUCAAGUGGCAAAAAGAGUCCUUGAUAAGUUAUUUCGCUUCUCAAAGAAACCGAAAACGCCAAACUAAUCACUAGUCUUGUUUUUUUUUUUCCUGGCAAAAGCCUGCUAUCUUUCAUGAUUUAGCUUUCAUGAAAUUGUUCCUGAAGACCCCCAAAAGAAACAAUUUCAUGCCCCGAACUCUGUUCAGAGACUUUGCUGUGCCUGUCAUGUCCAGCUUGCCAUAUCCUGUUUUGUAAAGUAGCCACCUUAUAUACACACCUGCUGUCUGCACUGUGACCUCCUUUCAAAAUCAUCUUUGGUUCUUCAGAGGCCUGGAAUAAUGCUCUGCCCAGAUGAAGAUCUCCGUAAAUGUGUUUUUGAAAUGGCUAAUCAAAUAAUGGAUACCCUUAGGUAUUUUUGCAGAAACACUUGACAGCCUUCCAUAAUAUCCCUACUAUGAAAUGGAAACUUGUGAAUGAGAUGUGGCUAAGUACUUUAUCCAUAAAACUCCAAACUUGAAUCAUGUUGGUAAGUGAACUGAUGUUAAGCUAGCAGGAAAUUGUUGGUGGCAUUCCUUAUUCAACAUUUUUAUUGGCUUAAGUGACCAUAGAGAAAGCACGCUCAUGAAACUGACAGAUGACAUAAAGUUGGAAUGAAUUGCUAAUAAACUGAAGACAGGGUUCAAAAAGAUCUGGAUGGACCAGAAGGAUGAGCCCAAACCAGCAAGAUGAAAUGUAACAGGGACAAUGCAAAGCCCUGAAUUUAGGUUAGAAAAAUGGGGGUGGGGGGGCGGCACCUGGGCCACAGAGCAAGACUCCAUCUCAAAAAAAAAGAAAGAAAAAUGGGGGGAAGGGUAGACUUUGUGAAAAAUGGGAGACAAUGCUACUAUCACUUAACAAGGAGAUGGUUCAGUAACAUUCGAUGGGACAUUGUACAUUGUUAAAAGAACAAAUUUCUAUACAUGGUGACAUGAAAGGAUUUCCUUUUUGUUUUUGUUUGUGGGUUUUUUUGUUUGUUGUGUUUUUUUGA
rnacentral:lncRNA from 10 species